GGGGGUAUAGUUCAGUGGUAGAGGCGUGCUUAGCAUGCACCAGACCCAGGGUUCAAUCCCUGGCACCUCCA
rnacentral:tRNA from 1 species